rnacentral:misc_RNA from 1 species
AGAUAUAACCGUCGAAGUAAAUGUACAGCUUCGCGCGCGCAGUGGCUCUGUACGAAGUGGUCGUUGGGCUGUCGCGCGUCCCUUAUCACCCUACAGGAUGAAAUUGUCAACGUGAAGAAUGAACACAAUCAUUAAUAUGAUAAUCAUUGCUGUGUGAUAUUAAAAGUCCAGUAUUUUCAAGGACUCGACGAGGUACUCUGGUCUUGGACAUAGGAAAUCAUAGAUUUUACAAGAACAACAGGAGUCUCGGGAUAAAAGCCGCUUGGUUUUGCAAGAAACGAAAAAUUGGAUGUCGCGCAUCACUUAUUGUUUGUGAGAAUACGGUUGUGAGUGCGAAGAACAGUCACAACCACGAUUGAAGAUUCUAUAAAAACAGAGCAGGAUAAGUAAUAAAUAAAUAAACGGCAAACAUCUGUACGGCCAAGACAAAUAGUUGCCGUGUGUAGG